UCUGCCCUGUAGAUUUACACACAGUGCAC
rnacentral:piRNA from 1 species